rnacentral:lncRNA from 1 species
UAGGCGAGAGAUCUCCAUCCUUGGCUACCUUAUCAAAUAAUAUGUCUAACAUAUCAUCCUCAUCAUCUUCGUCAAACAUUUCACUGCCCAAGUCACUAUCAUAAGUUGUAGUUGGACUACGUCUUGAAACUUCAGCUUCUGGCUCAUGACUUAUUUCCAAUACCUUGGUGUUAAUGGUCAAGAUCUUUUGAAGUUAUCAAUUGUCACUGCCAUAGGUGGAUUUGCCUUACUUAAAGGCACAAAUAUGGGUGCUUGAGGACUUAACUUACUCCUUGUAGGUGCAUGUUCCUCUUUUUCAACUAAAUCUGCCCAUCUAGAAUCACUUGUUUCCUUCACCAAACUCUUGUCAUUCCUUUUGGAAUGUGGUAUGAUCAUUGGGUUUUCUUUAUUCAGAGUAGUUUCUGGAUUAGAAACUUGAAGAAUUGGACUGGACAAAGCAUGGAGCUCUUGAUCAGAAUUGGUCAUUAGGGCAUUAAAGGUGUUAGAGCACACAA